AUGCAAGUCGAGGGGCAGCGCGAGGGUAGCAAUACCUUGGCGGCGACCGGCGCACUGGUGAGUAACACGUAUGCGACCUGCCCCGGACAGGGGGAUAAACCCGGGGAAACUGGGCCUAAUACCCCCAUAUGCCGUGAGGACGCAUGUCCUCUCGGUGAAAGAUCCGUCGGUCCCGGGAUGGGCAUGCGGCGCAUUAGCUUGUUGGCGGGGCAACGGCCCACCAAGGCGACGAUGCGUAGGGGUUCUGAGAGGAAGGUCCCCCACACUGGUACUGAGACACGGACCAGACUCCUACGGGAGGCAGCAGUGAGGAAUAUUGGUCAAGUGGACGAUAGUCUGAACCAGCCAAGUCGCGUGCGGGAAGAAGGCCCUCCGGGUCGUAAACCGCUUUAGCCGGGGAGUAACGUGGGGUCGUGACCCCCAGUGAGAGUAACCCGGAGAAUAAGCAUCGGCUAACUCCGUGCCAGCCGCGGC
rnacentral:rRNA from 1 species